AGCUAGCCAUGCAGUCUCAGUACGAGCUCAAUUAAAGUGAAACCGCAAAAGGCUCAGUAAACCGGUCAUAGUUUACCGGAUAUAUGCCACAUUACGUGGAUAACUGUGGUAAUUCUAGAGCUAAUACAUGCAACUAAGUCCCGACCAGCGAUGGAACGGACGCUUUUAUUGGAUCAAAACCAUUCGCCCGUCUCGCACGGGCGUCUGCUUGAUGACUCUAGAUAACCACAACAAGAUCGCACGGUCUCAGUACCGGCGACGUAUCCGUCAAAUGUCUGACUUAUCAGCUGUCGAUGGUAGACUCUGUGUCUACCAUGGCGCUCACGGGUAACGGGGAAUCAGGGUUCGAUUCCGGAGAGGGAGCCUGAGAAACGGCUACCACAUCCAAGGAAGGCAGCAGGCACGCAAAUUACCCACUCCCGGCACGGGGAGGUAGUGACAAAAAAUAACGAUACGGGACUCAUCCGAGGCCCCGUAAUCGGAAUGAGAACACCCUAAAUCCUUUAACGAGGAUCUAUUGGAGGGCAAGUCUGGUGCCAGCAGCCGCGGUAAUUCCAGCUCCAAUAGCGUAUAUUAAAGUUGUUGCGGUUAAAAAGCUC
rnacentral:rRNA from 1 species